rnacentral:rRNA from 1 species
UACGUAGGGUGCAAGCGUUAAUCGGAAUUACUGGGCGUAAAGCGUGCGCAGGCGGUGAUGUAAGACAGAUGUGAAAUCCCCGGGCUCACCUGGGAACUGCAUUGUGACUGCAUCGCUGGAGUACGGCAGAGGGGAUGGAAUUCCGCGUGUAGCAGUGAAAUGCGUAGAUAUGUGGAGGAAUACCGAUGGCGAAGGCAGCCCCCUGGGAUAACACUGACGCUCAUGCACGAAAGCGUGGGGAGCAAACAGG